GCUAACGUCCGUCGUGGAGAGGGAAACAACCCAGACCGCCAGCUAAGGUCCCCAAGUCUAUAUUAAGUGGGAAACGAAGUGGGAAGGCUUAGACAGCUAGGAUGUUGGCUUAGAAGCAGCCACCAUUUAAAGAAAGCGUAAUAGCUCACUAGUCGAGUCGGCCUGCGCGGAAGAUGUAACGGGGCUGAAAUAUAGCACCGAAGCUGCGGCAUCAGAAUUUAUUCUGUUGGGUAGGGGAGCGUUGUGUAAGCGGAUGAAGGUGAAUUGAGAGGUUUGCUGGACGUAUCACAAGUGCGAAUGCUGACAUAAGUAACGAUAAAACGGGUGAAAAACCCGUUCGCCGGAAGACCAAGGUUUCCUGUCCAACGUUAAUCGGGGCAGGGUGAGUCGGCCCCUAAGGCGAGGCUGAAAAGCGUAGUCGAUGGGAAACGGGUUAAUAUUCCCGUACUUGGAUAAACUGCGAUGUGGGGACGGAGCAGGUUAGGUUAGCGUGCUGUUGGACAUGCACGUUUAAGUUGGUAGGUGGGGUGCUUAGGCAAAUCCGGGCACCUAUUAAACACUGAGAGAUGAUGACGAGACGCUACGGCGUUGAAGUAACUGAUACCAUACUUCCAGGAAAAGCCACUAAGCGUCAGGUUUAUCUAAACCGUACUGAAAACCGACACAGGUGGUCAGGUAGAGAAUACUCAGGCGCUUGAGAGAACUCGGGUGAAGGAACUAGGCAAAAUAGCACCGUAACUUCGGGAGAAGGUGCGCCGGCGUAGAUUGUAAGGGUUUUCCCCUGAAGGUUGAACCGGUCGAAGAUACCAGCUGGCUGCAACUGUUUAUUAAAAACACAGCACUCUGCAAACACGAAAGUGGACGUAUAGGGUGUGAUGCCUGCCCGGUGCUGGAAGGUUAAUUGAUGGUGUAAUCGAAAGAGAAGCUCCUGAUCGAAGCCCCAGUAAACGGCGGCCGUAACUAUAACGGUCCUAAGGUAGCGAAAUUCCUUGUCGGGUAAGUUCCGACCUGCACGAAUGGCAUAAUGAUGGCCAGGCUGUCUCCACCCGAGACUCAGUGAAAUUGAAAUCGCCGUGAAGAUGCGGUGUACCCGCGGCUAGACGGAAAGACCCCGUGAACCUUUACUAUAGCUUGACACUGAACAUUGAAUUUUGAUGUGUAGGAUAGGUGGGAGACGUUGAAGUAGGAACGCCAGUUUCUAUGGAGUCGACCUUGAAAUACCACCCUUUAACGUUUGAUGUUCUAACGAAGAGUGGAAACACGCUCUCGGACAGUGUCUGGUGGGUAGUUUGACUGGGGCGGUCUCCUCCCAAAGCGUAACGGAGGAGCACGAAGGUUUGCUAAUCACGGUCGGACAUCGUGAGGUUAGUGCAAUGGUAUAAGCAAGCUUAACUGCGAGACGGACAGGUCGAGCAGGUACGAAAGUAGGUCAUAGUGAUCCGGUGGUUCUGUAUGGAAGGGCCAUCGCUCAACGGAUAAAAGGUACUCCGGGGAUAACAGGCUGAUACCGCCCAAGAGUUCAUAUCGACGGCGGUGUUUGGCACCUCGAUGUCGGCUCAUCACAUCCUGGGGCUGAAGUAGGUCCCAAGGGUAUGGCUGUUCGCCAUUUAAAGUGGUACGCGAGCUGGGUUUAGAACGUCGUGAGACAGUUCGGUCCCUAUCUGCCGUGGGCGUAGGAGAAUUGAUUGGGGCUGCUCCUAGUACGAGAGGACCGGAGUGGACGCACCACUGGUGUUCGGGUUGUGUCGCCAGACGCAUUGCCCGGUAGCUAAGUGCGGAAGAGAUAAGUGCUGAAAGCAUCUAAGCACGAAACUUGCCAAGAGAUGAGUUCUCCCAGACAUUAUGUUUGU
rnacentral:rRNA from 1 species